rfam:Tulasnella calospora MTT 4182 unplaced genomic scaffold scaffold_2, whole genome shotgun sequence.
GGUUUAUUAGUGUAGCGGUUAUCACUCCGGAUUCUGAUAUGGCAACGCCUUCAGAUCUUCCGGCAACCCCGGUUCGAAUCCGGGAUAGACCU